rnacentral:rRNA from 1 species
GACGAACGCUGGCGGCGUGCCUAAUACAUGCAAGUAGAACGCACAGUUUAUACCGUAGCUUGCUACACCAUAGACUGUGAGUUGCGAACGGGUGAGUAACGCGUAGGUAACCUGCCUGGUAGCGGGGGAUAACUAUUGGAAACGAUAGCUAAUACCGCAUAAUAUUAAUUAUUGCAUGAUAAUUAAUUGAAAGGUGCAAUUGCACCACUACCAGAUGGACCUGCGUUGUAUUAGCUAGUAGGUGAGGUAACGGCUCACCUAGGCGACGAUACAUAGCCGACCUGAGAGGGUGAUCUGCCACACUGGGACUGAGACACGGCCCAGACUCCUACGGGAGGCAGCAGUAGGGAAUCUUCGGCAAUGGACGAAAGUCUGACCGAGCAACGCCGCGUGAGUGAAGAAGGUUUUCGGAUCGUAAAGCUCUGUUGUAAGAGAAGAACGGGUGUGAGAGUGGAAAGUUCACACUGUGACGGUAUCUUAACAGAAAGGGACGGCUAACUACGUG